UACGGAGGGUGCAAGCGUUAUCCGGAUUCACUGGGUUUAAAGGGUGCGUAGGCGGGCAGGUAAGUCAGUGGUGAAAUCUCUGGGCUUAACCCGGAAACUGCCGUUGAUACUAUCUGUCUUGAAUAUAGUGGAGGUGAGCGGAAUAUGUCAUGUAGCGGUGAAAUGCUUAGAUAUGACAUAGAACAUCGAUUGCGAAGGCAGCUCGCUACACUAUGAUUGACACUGAGGCACGAAAGCGUGGGGAUCAAACAGG
rnacentral:rRNA from 1 species